CACGUAGGGGGCGAGCGUUGUCCGGAAUCAUUGGGCGUAAAGAGCUCGUAGGCGGCUCAGUAAGUCGGGUGUGAAACCCCCAGGCUCAACCUGGGGACGCCACCCGAUACUGCUGUGGCUAGAGUCCAGUAGGGGAGUGUGGAAUUCCCGGUGUAGCGGUGAAAUGCGCAGAUAUCGGGAGGAACACCGAUGGCGAAGGCAGCCUCCUGGGCCAGCACUGACGCUCAUGCACGAAAGCGUGGGGAGCAAACAGG
rnacentral:rRNA from 1 species